rnacentral:lncRNA from 1 species
UUGUAAACUGGAGUUGGUGGUGAUGGUGAUUUGUAGACUGAGUGUGUAGAGAGUAGUAUGACUCCUUAGGUGGUGGUGGUGAAUUGUAAAUGGGAGUUGGUGGUGGCAGAGACUUAUAAACUGGUGCGGGAUUGAUAUAGCUCCUUGGGUGUGGAGGCGAUAUGUAGACUAGGGUUGGUGGAGGUGGUGACUUGUUGACUGGGUGUGUGGAGGGUAGUAAGGCUCCUUAGUAGUGGUGGCGACUUGUAAACUGUAGUCGGUAGAGGCGGUGACUUGUAGAUUGGGGUAUGAGGAGGGUAGUAUGGCUCCUUAAGUGGUUGUGGUGACUUGUAAACUGGAGUCGGCGAAGGUGGCGACUUAUAGACUGGGUGUUUGGAGGGUAGUAAGGCUCUUUGGGUGGGGGUGGCAACGUAUAAACUUGAGUUAGUGGAAGUGGUGAUUUGUAGACUGGGUGUGUGGGGGAUAGUAUGGCUCCUUAGGUAGUAGUGGUGAUUGGUAAAUAGGAGCCGGUGGAAAUGGCGACUUAUAGACUGGGUGUGUGGAGGGUAGUAAGGCUCUUUUGGUGGGGGUGACGACUUGUAAACUGGAGUUGAUGGAGGUGGCAAUUUGUAGACUGGGGUGUGUGGAGGAUAGUAUGGCUCCUUGGGUGGUGAUGGUGGUGACUAGUAAAGCGGAGUUGAAGGUGAUGGUGAUUUAUAAAGUGGUGCAGGAUGAUAAGGUGUUGGUGAAGGAUGGUAUGGCUCUUUUGGUGAUGGUGGAGAUAAAUAUUGAUAAUUUGCUGAGCUUUGGGAAGCCAAGCAAAGUGACACAAAAACCACUAAAAGAGUGGAAAAUAGAGAGGCCAUUUCUCCCAAAAAGAAACAAAGGAGAGAAGUUGUUGUCCCUUUAAGCUGCACUCAAAGCCCUUUGUAUAGCUUUCAUUUAGAAGGUAUAAGGCUAAAGUUAUGUAUUUUUAAUUAGUUUUGUCAUGUUGUCGGUUCAAUUUGACCUUUGUUGGUAUACUUUUUUUUUUUUGUUGGAUAGAAGGUGCAAGCUAAGCAAAGAAAUUAACUACUAUGGCAGCUAUACUAUUUAUGAUGCAAUAAUUCAAAAAAAAAUACGUGGAUCCCACAACUUCCCACAAGAUUUUAGUUAUAGGAAUCUGAGCACUUUUUUUUUACACUUAGGGUGUGUAUGGUACGAUGGAAAAUAUUUUCUGAAAAAUGUUGGUUGUAGUAAAAAAUAUUUUCUAAGAUAAUUCAUUUUUUCCUAUUUGAGGGAAAAUGACUUCCCUCAUGGACCAAGGGAAGUUAUUUUUCGGAAAAUGAUAAAUGUGACUUAUGCCCCCAUCCUCACCCCUCUUCCCACCCCAACAACACUCAUAUUCACAUAACUCAAAAAAUUCACAUUUUUAAAAAAUUUAUUUUACUCAAAAUAUUUUUCACUGUGCUUUGCUUCAAUUUUUCACUGCUUGAAAUAAAAAAUAGUGAAGCCCGACUUUUUUUCAUUUCCAAUGUUCGUUGAAUGUAUUGUUAUUUUCAUAUGCAUAGAGGAAGACUUACCUAUGUUACUUUUGCUAAUUGCAUAUUUUAUUUUGUCAUCGAUGUUACUUCUUUCACGAGGUUGAAUAAGCUUAUCGUCCCGUUAUAUUUCUAUUGAUUGUAGUAUCUUGAGAUUGUCCUGAAAAAAUGUUGAAAAGUGUCUCCUAUAUUUGCUAAUUAAUAGUUGCUUAAAUUUAGUGAUUGUAAUAUUUUAGUAUUCGAUAUUGAUAUUAUUUAUUAUGCUUAAAUUAGUUCUUACAAAUUGUUGAGUUGCUAGAUGCACUGAUAUACUAGUUAACAGUUAGUAGUAUUUUCUAAAAAAAAAAAUUUCACUCACCAAUCAAACACUAGAAAAUAUUUUUCUAAAAAAUAUUUUCUACUCACCAACCAAACACCAUAAAAUAUUUUUCGAAAAUAUUUUUCACUCACCAACCAAACAUGAGAAAAUAAAUAGAAAACCAACUUAUUUUCCAAGAAAACAUUUUUCAUGAAAAAUAUUUUCCAUCGUACCAAACACACCCUUAGUAUUUGAAGAAUUCAAUUCUUGUGGAUUCUGACAGCUUAACUAACCUUCACUUAAGUGCUGAGAAAUUUAAAACAAUAUGUAUACAGUAUCAUAUAUUCUUUAAAAGAAAUGAUAUGUCAUUGUUAAAAGAGUUUAAUCUAGAGAAAACUGUGCAUGUGACUCGCUUUCAUUACCAACUAAAUCAAUUAUGUUCUUUCCUUUUGUGUAGUAGAGCUAAAAGAAACAUCAACCGAUUAUUUUGUAGCUCAAUGUUGAAAACUUAUGUGGUUCAAUAUGAUAUCUCUGAAAAUUUUACAGCUUGUUUGAUAGCUGCUGCCUAAUAAUGUAUUGUAUCGUGUUGCUAGUUUAAAUAUAAUGUGUAUUUUGAUUGUUUCUUAAAUUUUACUGUAUCAUUAAAUCUAUAACUAGAUAGCAAUAAAAAGUCUCAUUUGGUGUAACGACCUAUUUGAUGUGAUCGCGUUGUUACCUUUUUUCCCCUUUUUAUUUAUUAUUUAAUUAUCUUAAUGCUCCUUUAUCCUAUAUUUUUAUAGUAACUCUACCUCACAUUUUUCUAUUUUCCUUCUAGGCUUAUCCUUGAACUGUUAUAUGAAGGAUGCAAUGUAAUGACGAAAAAGGUAUAAUAAAUCCAAAUAUCGUAACAUUCACUAAAAUAAUAAAGUACAUACAAUACAACAUGAUACUUUAUGAAACAAUAUCAUUCCAAGUUAAGGACUUGAUUAGAAUGUGCAUGUUAAGUGUCUGAUGGGUUACUUAAGUAUAAAGUUCAAGUCCAUAUAAAAAGAUAAACCCUAAUUAUAAUGCCUUCAUCAUGGCUGGUCGACAGUAGUCUACUACUGAAUUUCCUCCUUUGAACCCAAAUUCUAUUGUGAAUAUCCAAACCCUACCGUUGGAUAAAUCUUUUGUUGAAUCAAUCAGUACAACAAAGUUGGACACCGUCUCUCGCAAAGAGGUGGUCAUGGUGGAAGGAAUCCCGAAUGUCACACUGAAAAAAGUGGAUACAGUGAAUAAAAUGGAGAAUUUGCAAUUUGUUGUCAUAGGUAAAUUCACUUAAGAAUGGACGGGUAUAGAAGAAUUAAGGAAUAUUAUCCCACAGCAAUGCAACAUUAAUGGUGAUUGUCAAAUUGGAGUAUUCAGAAAUAAACAUAUUUUCAUUCGUUAGACACAGGAGUCGGAUUUUAUUAAUAUCAUCAUCUCAAAGGGAGCUUUUUCCUUGCACUGUAAGGAUGGGUUCUCUUAUUUGAUGCGAACACUCUCACACUUAUCUAUGAUCCCCUUUUCAAAGAAACUUUAGAGACUACAAAGACUUUCGCAUGGAUUUCUUUCCCAAAUCUAUUGCCUACCUAUUAUGUCAAGGAAUGUUUGUUUUCUUUAGCUGCAACAGUGGGAAAGCCUGUCCAACUUGAUCUAGCCACCAUUAAUAGGACUAGACCAAGUUGUGCAAGGAUUAAGGUCUUGGUUGAUCUAAAAGCUGAUUUCUCUAAAUCAGUCCGGAUGGAUAUUGAAAAUGAAGAGUCAGGUAAAUGCAGGACAAUAGUGAAGCGGAUUAAAUUCGACCAUAUUCCUAAGUAUUGUCAUGAAUGCAAUAUGCAAGUUCAUGCUAAGAAUCAAUGUAGAAACUUAGGCACCCCAGAGGAUGCAACAAUGGCAGUAACAGUGGAUAAUAAGGAAUAAAAGAGGCCAGUACAACAUCUUCCUAAAUUCACAAUGCCUUUUGUACACAAAUUUCAAAACGGAAAAGCAUGAGUUCUUUCGAGUGGGAUUGUAGUUGGAGAUCCUACUAACUGGAUGGUUAUUAAAAAUGAUAAGAGGAUAGUUAAUACUUCCCAACAGCCUCUUUUAAUGAUAUAGUUAAUACUUCCCAACAGCCUCUUUCAAUGACAAAUAACCAAUUUGCUGCUCUAGCUACCGACGACAAAGAACCUGCUGAAUUAAACAUUUCGACAAAGGAGAGUUCAAACCUUAAGGCAUGUACGGAUGUGUUCCAAAUAAUAAGGAAAAUGAAAAAGUUAAUCUGUGGUCCAAUAAAGAAUCUGCUAAAGAGUGGGUAUCAAGGGAUUUUGGCAAGCUAGGUGAAGUUCCCAAUUCUGUAAUACCUGUACAGCAACAAGGCAGUCAGCAACUAAGUAAUCAACAACAAAGGCAAGAUAGAGAUAAUAAUGCUAAAGAGAAUAAUAAAGAUGGUAAUGGGAUGGAGAAUGAUAUGCAGGUUAAAUCUUUAAUAAAUCAGGAGCAUAAUAUUGAUGAUGGUCAGCAACAAUGCCUCAUAGUCAAAAAGGACAAUCUGCAAUCUAUAGAAGAUGUGCAACCAGAUACCAAGCAAUAGUCAAUGCAGAUUAAUCAAGAUUUUUACAGUGGAAGCUAUGAUAAUGGAGAUAGGUCAGUUGAGGAAAGUGUGGGGAUAACAGUUGUGAUGCAAGGGGAACAAAAUGUGUGUUUAGAAAUAAUGGAGAUUCCAAAACCAGUGCAGAUAGAUGAAUCAUUUAUCGUUACCAAGAGUUCUCCCAACAAAGUAAUACAUGACAUUGUCUCUCAUAGUUUAGGGUACAUUAAAUGCAGUAAUCAAACUCACAUGGCCAAAGGAGUUAAAGAAGUAGAUGUAGAAGAUGAUUCGAAGGAUCAUGCUCCAUCGGAAGCUGAUUUAUCACCAAGACUGAUGAAAAUCUCUAAAAAAGGAUAAAAAAGAAUGUGGAUGGGAGAAAACUCACAACCUACCAGAGUUCAUCCUAAGCGAUCCAAAUCUGCCCUAAAUUAUCAAUGAAAGCACUUAUUUGGAACAUUAGGUCUGUGAAGACACAACAAGAUUUCAAAGACUUCAGAUGCUUAAUAAUUAUCAUAAGUUCACCGGUUUCAGUUUGUUAGAGCCUUUUCAGAAUGUUAGAUAUAAGAGAAGAUUGAAAAUGCAUAGGGCUAUGUCAAACUGCAAUAGCAAGAUUUGGUUUUUCUCCUCUCAAGAUGUGAUAACAACUGUUAUUAAAGACACUGAUCAUCAGCUACAGUUCACUUGCAGGAGUAGGCUCAGAGCUUAGAUUUAUUACUCUUGUUUAUGCAAAGUGUUCUAAAGAGGAGAGAUUAAUCUUAUGGAAGGAUAUUUAUCAAGUUGCUUCUGGAAUUUCAAAACCUUGGAUGCUAGGAGGAGAUUUAAUGUUGUUUUGAAUUCUGAAGAGAAAAUUGGUGGCCUUCCAAUUCUUGAUGCAGGCCAUGGGGACUUUCAAUCAUGUAUUUCUUAUUGUGAUUUGAUGGAGAUACCUUUUAAAGAAAGUUCUUUCACUUGGUGGAAUGGUAGAGCAGGUAAUGACUGUAUUUUAGAAAGAUUGGAUAGAAUUUUUACUAAUCAACAACAACAACAACAACAACAACAACAACAACAAACCCAGUGUAUUCCCACCUAGUGGGGUCUGGGGGGGUAAGAUGUACGCAGUCCAUACCUCUACCUCUGCUGAAUUUUUACUAAUCAAGAUUUACAAAAUAAGUUCAAUCACAUGAAGGUAGAACAUCUUGCUACUAGUUCAGAUCAUGCUCCCAUGUUGUUGUAUUGUUAUGACAGAGCUAUCAGUUACAAGAAAUCUUUUAGAUUUCUUAAGUUUUGGACUGAUCAUCCUAAGUUCCUAGAAGUAGUAAGGCAGAAUUGGUGUUCUUCAGGUUCUCAGAGUCCAUUCUUAGAUUUCAAAGCAAAGAUUAAGAGAAUUAAAGUUGCUUUGACAAGAUGGAGUAAAGAGACUUCUGGGGAUAUUUUUAAAUAGUUGAUAAUCAGGGAAGAAAUUGUCAAGAUCAAAGAGAAAUUAUUUGAGGAAUGCCCUACGGCUGAUAACAGCGAAGUGUUGCAAAGAGCUCAGUCCGAGCACAAAAUAUAUCUUCGUUUUGAAGAGAUUUUUUGGCAGCAAAAAGCAGGUUAUGACUGGUUUGAGAAUGGUGACAGAAAUAUUAAAUUUUUUCAUAGCACUGUGAAGGGGAGGAGGAAAAGAUUGAAUUUGAAUAGAAUUCAAAUUAAUCAGGGUAUUUGGCUGGAUAAAGAAGAAAAGAUAGCCGCAGAGGUUGUUAUGUUUUAUCAGGACCAAUUUAGACAAGAACAAGAGGCUAAUGUUUUUUCAUAACUGAAUAAUAUACCUAAGAGUAUUUCUGAUGAGCAAAAUAUUGUUUUAAGUCAGUAAGCUGAUCUUGAAGAAGUUAAAAAGGCACUUUUUAGCUUAAAUGAAUAUAGUGCAAGUGGCCCGGAUGGGUUAACAAGUAGGUUCUAUCAGGUUCGCUGGGAUAUUAUUGGUAAUGAUGUUCUUAAUCUGGUGCAAGAUUUCUUAAAAGGUAAUACUCUUCCCAAAUUCAUUAUUCAUACUAAUUUGGUGUUGCUUCCCAAGAAGGAUUUUAUUCAAUUUUUCUCAGAUUUGAGACCAAUUAGUCUUAAGUAAUUUUAUUAAUAAGAUCAUUUCUAGGAUUGUGCAUGACAAAAGUGAACUUCUUUUGCCUAGACUGAUUUCUUUUAAUCAAUCUAAAUUUGUCAAAGAGAGAAGAAUUAUUAAAAAUUUCCUCCUGACUCAAGAGAUAGUUACUGACAUCAGAAAAAUGGGUAAGCCGGCUAAUGUGGUCUUAAAGCUUGAUAUGACUAAGGCUUAUGAUAGGGUUUCCUGGUUUUUCCUGAUGAAGGUUCUAAGAAAAAUAGGGUUCUCAAAAUUGUUUAUGGACUUGUUUUGGAGAUUAUUGUCUAAUAAUUGGUAUUCUAUACUAAUUAAUGGGCGAUCACACGGCUUUUUUCACUCAACUAGGGGAGUAAAACAAAGAAAUCCUUUAUCUCCAGCUUUCUAUUUGAUGAUGCUCAAUAUGUAGGUUAUGAUAUGCCAAAGUGGAGUUCCAAUAUUAAUCAUCUUGCUUAUGCAGAUGACACUAUUAUAUUCGCUGCAGCUAACAGAUACUCUUUGAGAAAGAUUUUUUCAGUGUUACGGGAAUAUGAAACUCAAUCAGGGCAAAAAGUUAAUAAAGAGAAGAAUGCUUUCUACAUGCAUCAGAAUUCAGCUGCAGUUGAUAAACAAAUGGUGGAAGAUUGUGCGGCUAUUUCUAAAGGCCAAUUUCCUUUGAAAUACCUUGAAUGUCCUAUCACUCAUGCUAGAAAAAGAAAGAGUCAUUAUUCAGAGCUAAUUCAGAAGGUUAAGUCAAAAUUACAGGCUUGAAAAGGUAAUAUUCUCUCAUAUGGGGGGAAAGGAGGUCCUUAUCUCUAGUGUUCUUCAAAGUGUUCCUAUACAUAUCCUUUCUGUUGUUGUCCCUCCUAUUUGUGUAUUGAAGGAGCUUCACAGAAUAUUUGCAAAUUUUUUUGGAGUAAUAAGGCCGAUGGAAGAAACAAACACUGGGCUGCUUGGGUAAAGGUGUUUUUACCAAAACAGAAGGCAGUUUGAGUUUUAGAUCGAUGUUUGAGGUAUCUCAAGCCAUGUAUCCUAAGUUCUGGUGGAAGUUCAGAACUCAAAAUACUACUUGGUCCAACUUUAUAUGAGACAAGUAUUGCAAAAAGCAAAUACCUUCACUAGUUUAAUGGAAAGGUGGCUCGCAAGUAAGGAAGCAUAUGUUGCAAAAUAGGGAUCUAGUGGAGCAAUUCUUGUGGUGGAACCUAAAGGAGGUACUUCUACAGUUUGGUAUGAUAAUUGGACUCAACUUGGUCCUCUUUUCAAACACCAGGUAGAGGUCAUUCUUCUUUUCCAGUGAUGGAUAUUGAGGAAUUCAUGUUGGGCUCAGACUGGGAUUUUGAGAAUAUGCAAUAUCAUUUAUCAGAUAAUGUAGUAGAGCAUGUAAGAUUACAUUUGAGGCUUGUACGACAUCCUGGAGAAGGUGACAAGCCCUGGUGGAUUAAAUUUAGUUCUGGCAAGUUCUCGGUUAAAAGUGCUUGGGAAGAACGGAGGAAAAAAACGUUUGUAAUGAGUCAUUUCAGAAGAUCUGGGUAAAAGAGAUUCCUUUCAAAAUUUCUUACUUUGGUUGGAGAGUUUGGACAAAUAGGAUUCCUGUAGCCUCUGUUUUAGCUAAUUGGAAUCCUAACUUGUCUCCUCUUUAUUCAUAUUGUGUUUCAAGAAAUCAUGGAGCACCUCUUUCUAAAAGGUGAAGUGGUUUAUUUCGGUUUGGAUUUAUUACGCCAAUGCUGCAGGUAUUCUGGGGCCCUGGGUUCAAAUUAAACUAUCCAUAAAGAAGUGGUGGGAUAUAAAUGGUAAUUAAAGACAAAGAUUCAUCUUUCAGGUAGUUCCUACUCUCAUUUUGUGGUUUUUACGGAAAAGAAGGAAUGCAUUAGUUCAUGGAGGUUCAUACUCUACAGCCAAGGUUAUUUGGGAUAUUAAUGGUUUAAUUAAGAAAAUUCUCAGAAAGAAGUUUGGUUAUGAUCAGUUACCAUCUAGUUGGCCUCAAAUAGUUGCUUUUUGACUUAUUUAGACCUACAUUUUUAUCUAGAUGGAUAAGAUGGUAUCCCCCACCUAGGGGAUAGUGGAAAUAUAACACUGAUGGAACCUCGAGAGGUAAUCUAGGUCGAAUUUCAGCUGAUUUUUGUGUACGAAAUCAUGUAGGUGAUCUUGUGUAUGCUAAGGGUUUCUCUAUUCCAGAUUCCACUAAUCUGGUUGUUAAAGUCAUUGCUAUAGGAGUUGGUUUACAUUAUUGCUUAGAAAAUCAAAUUGUCAACAUUAUUGUGGAAUCUGAUUCCCUUGUAGUAGUCAACAUGAUUAAUGGAGUGUGGGAAAUUCCUUAGAGUGUGAUAAUGGAGGUCAACUCCAUUAAAGAUAUGAUGGAUUCUUGUUCAGCAAGAGUACAACACUCCUUAGGAAAGGGAAAUACUCUUGCUGAUUAUUUAGCUAACUUGGUUUUUCAUUUUGCAGGUAACUUUGAAUUCAACAGUUUUCAUGAAAUUCCAAGCGCAGGUAGGAAGAUUAUCAAUCUAGACAAACAAGGCAUUCCACAAAUGAGGAUAAGACAGUGUACAUCAACUAAUUCAACAAGGGAUGGAUCGCUACUGCAGAUUACAAAGUGAAUUUACAAACUCUAUUAGCAGUGACUAGUUACUGGUGAAUUUAGUGCAGUCUGAAUUAGUUUCGUUUGGUUAACAUACCAUGCACCUGUGGGAAUUUUUAGGUGUUACAUAGAGUAUAAACCCAGGACUCACUUAUACUAGUUGCUAAUUUCUAGGUAUAGAGUUUAUAAAAAUCAAGCACAAAUUUAGAGGCAUUUCAUAGUCUCAAAUCUGUUGAUGAGGAGAGGAUGGAGUACCCGGGACCUCAAAUUUAGCGGCGGAAGAUAGACAGGGUAUAAUUAUCAAGCAAUACAAUUCUUUUAUACAGAUUCCACUUCAGAGAAGAACAAAAAUAAUCAUUGCCAACUUAUGGAUUGCAAAGUGUCAAAAUACAAAUUUCAGCAUUUGGAGUAACACAAGAAGGCAAGGAGCAAGAUAAGUAUUAAUGGACAGUAGUGGUGAUUAACAUUCACUAAUACUGAUUGAUUUCUAAGUCAUACAAUUGAAAUGGGGGUUAAGGUGAACCUGUUAGUUCUGGAUCCUUGGUGGUGGUAUCAAUCUCCUUGAGGUUUAUUCCGCUAGGAAAAAGAGAGAACAGUGAAAUCAUUUUUUUCAUUUCACAGAUGAGUUUAGAAUAGAAAAAGGGAGGUGACUUACCAUAUCAUCUGCAAUAAAUAUUUAUUGAUUUGGAGCUGUAGAAAUUUAGUUGAAACCAAUUUCAUGAAGUUUGUAAGAGAUUAAAGUGUCUUAGUGAAAUUUGAUGGAUGUUCCAUGGCAAUAAUGGCUUCCACAACUUAAUGCAACAACCAGAUGAGGUUGGAGUAGCAAAGAUUGAAACCAUAGUUGCCUCUCCGUGAUGUCUUUCAGCUUUGAGUUUUAUCCACACAUUCCUUUUCCUGCUUACAUUUUCUGUUUUUGGUCUUUUCAGAUGUCUGGAUAUAUUUGUUGCUUUUGUUUUGGACCCGGGUCUUGCUUAACUUGGGCCAAUUUGUACAUAUCUUUUCUGCUCCUGAAUAAAUUGGGCUCUGGUCCAUCUUCAAUUAAAAAAAAGGAAAAAUGACAUGGACUGACCAGUUUAAAAAAAGGAAAUUUUGCAUAUAUACCGACAUGUUUACUCUUAAUUACCAAAAAUUUCAACAUUUUUCAAAAUCUCCAAAAAUUCCAACAUUUGACCUCUGAUAAUACAAGUUAAUCACAUUAGAUACAUACUGUUGAUAUAUGUAUCUAAUGUGAUUAACUUGUAUCAUACAUUAGAUAUAUGUAGGGUUACAUUAGAUACAUGUAGGGUUACAUUAAAUACAUGUAGGGUUAACUUGUAUCUCAAAAAUAGUCCCAAAUAUGAAAUGUUGGAAUUUAUGUAAUUUUUCAGAAGUAGGGGGAUUUUUAGAAAUUUUGAAAGUUAUGAUGUUUAUUUAUGUAAUUUUUUGUUAAAAAGAAAAAAAAUAGCCCACACUAUGAAAAUAUGGACAAUUGGAGCCAGUAGACCCAAUUUAUUUCCUGUUUUUUCAGUCAUUUGGCCCAAAACUAUUCUCCUUACACAAUUAAGGGGAUUAAAUACUCUUCACAGUAGGCUACUCUUAAAUCACUUUUCUUUUCAAACUAUACUUUCCCAAAAAAAUGUUCACCUCUAUUAUGUGUCGAUCAAUCUACUGUGUUUUGUGAUAACAAUUGAGUUAGUAGGGCACAUGCAGUCUCUAUACCCAAUUGAUACACUUUUGUACCAUAUUGAUACAUGUUUAUACCCAAUUGAUACUCUUUAUACUACAUUGAUACACUUUUAUACUCAAUUGAUACUCUUUUAUACUAGAUUGAUACACUUUUAUACCACGUCGAUACAGUAUGUAUAUUACAUAAAUACAUCUUUUACAGAGGAAAUUUGUGCAAGCAUAUACAGUAACAAUACCAAAUUAAUACAGUAAAUCAAAAUUAGUAAGUACGAACAUAAUUGAUACUCUUUAAAAUUAUAGUAUUAAUAGUACAUAAAGUAACAAAAAAAAAGAUCAAAUCAUCUUUCCAUCAAUUAUUGUUUUGAUUUAGUUCAUUCUUUCUCCUUAACGCUCUUUUAUAUUUCUAACUUCCUCUUCCUACCUUUAUUUUCUCUUCUUUUUUUCUUUCCUUCAUUACUAAGUUAGUUGUAAACACCCAUAUGAUGAAGUAUGUAUUUACUCUUGAGUUGAUGUCAUAUUUAUCCUACUAAGAAAAAUCACAGGUUCUGUAAGGAAUUGUCUAGACAUGGAGUACAUAUAAAAAUUUAUUCUGCCACUUGAAAAAAACCUGUAAAAAACUAAUUAAAUUCAGAUUUUUUGAGAUUUUAUACAAAAUUUAUGAAAUGAGAAAGGUAAAUUGGAGUAUCGAAAAAAGGUAAAGGAACAAAUAUUUAGGAGUUUGAAUGGAAAGGAAACUGGGAAUGAAAAGAAAAGAAAGAAAGGGAAAGUUACUUCAAGGAUGUUUUUGAUUUUGUUUAAGCGUAUGACAGUGAAGGUUAGUUAGUGGAAUUACUCUGUGUCUAUUUAUGAUGUAUUUAAUUUUGACUGCUAUUUUUUUAUAUUAUUUUAGUUUUAGGUGUUAUUUCUGUCAUUUGCCCAAAAAAAAAAACUUACUAUUUUACUACAAUUCUUGUUGGUAAGAAUACAUUAUUUCUUUUUUUUUUUUAGGGCAAACAACAUAAAUUUCGAGAAUUUGGAGCUUAAUUACAGAAAAUUCUGAUAUUUUGCAUAAUUGUUGAAAAUCUCAAUUUUGGAUCUGUUGAGAUACAUUAUUAGCUUCUGAUACAAUCAAAAAGAUACAUUUUUAACUUUGUAUAGAUAUAUAAUUAGCUUCCGCUACAUAUUUUUUAAAUUUUGCGUUUGUUGAGAUAUAUAAUACAUCCAAUGAAGAUAUAUUUUUUUCUUUGUAAAGAUAUAUAAUUAGCUCCCAGUGCAGUUUUUUUAUUUUUGGGUCUGUCGAGAUACAUAAUAAGCUUUCGAUACAUCCAACGAAGAUAUAUAAUUAAUUGAGCUUUUUGUAGUUAUUUUGUAAGAGUGAAAAUUUUGUAUAAAUAUAAUAAGUUAAGAUGUAUAUUUAUACUAUUUUUCCAUAAUUUGCUUGCGAACCAAAUCGACCACUAAAGAAUUGAAAAGUUAAACAAUUUGUUCCCAAUACAGAACAAACUUUAGCCUAAAAUUUAAUGCUAAAAAUUACUACAAUGAGCUGAGUGGCUGAAAUGGUGCCACUUAAGAAUAAUUUGGUGGAUGAAAUGAAUGAAUUGUUUUGGAGUACAAAUUUUGAUUUAGACAAUCUAUUGAAAUUUAUUAUAGUACUGUUUAUAUUUAGGGGCCAUUUUUCAGGAUCUAUGAAAAAUUUAUAAUGUUGAGUAGAACAUACUAUAAAAGUAAUGUUGGAUAGAGCAUAUCACACAUUAGCACAAUCCUAAUCAAUAAUGAUAGCUAUUCAUCUCUAGUUCACUUUUAUAGUUAAUCAAAGAAUUAUUAACAACGAAAAUUAAUUUUCUUGUUUUGGUUUUCUAUCAUUGAAUCAGCAAUAGUUUGAUAUAAGAACUAUUCAGAACAGACUAAAUUAAAGAGAAAGAUGGAAUACCGUCAAUGAAAAUAAUAGGAUAUGAUAUCUUCAAAGAUAAAGAAGGCAGUGAACUUUUUACACAUAUAAUACGUAUAAUUAUUAAAGAAUAUAAAAGAAAUUAAAAAAAGGACAUACAGUACAUAUAUAAACUGGAAAAGAAGAUCAAUAAUGUAAAAGUUUGAUGUUAACACUGUUCCUUAAUUAAAAUUUCCAUAAUGAUUAUACUCGCUAUUUUCUUUCAUUUGCACAAAUCAAUAUGCUCCUUUCCCCCCUUUUUUUCUCCUGAUCACUCCUUAAAGAACGAGACAUAUAGCAUACAUAGAGAAGAGAGUACUUUGUCUCCCUCAAUAAAUACCUUGAGAAAAAAAUGUAACUCAUUAGUAGUUUCUUGAUUUUGUAAAAUUUUCUUUAUUUAAAAAAGAGUAACAUUGGAAGAAGGUCAUUAGUAUCUUUUUUAUUAUCUAAAACAACAUUUAUUAUCUUUUUUAUUAUCUAAAACAACAUUUAUUAGGAGCAAAAUAAAAAAGCUAAACAACCACUUAUUAGAAACAGAGGGAGUACUAAUUAUCUGAUAGUGUUUUCAGUGUUACGCAUCAUGAACUAAAAGCUUAAUUUAAGAAGCAUUGACUGCUUAAUGAAAUCUUUUAAUUCACAAUGAUAAUAAGGAAAUCCAAUUUGUGUUGUAUCAUUCUAGCCUUUCCAUUUUUUAUGGAGACAAAGCAUUAAUAGACAAAUGGAGAUUGGACAUAUCAAGAUUUCAGUCUCAUCCUGUCAAAUCAUUAAUUGUAAAACCUUCAUGUAUUUCUAUGUUCAGCCUAAGAUAUUAAGGGGUUAAUAUUCUUUCAAAACAUGGAGAGUUUCUGAUAUUGGGAGACAUGGUUGUUUGUCGAAUAUAUUUAUUUCUCAAUAAUUGAAAUAUAUAAUUGUAUUUGAUGUGAAGAAAGUAUUAGUUAAAAUGCAGUUUGGUUCAUUUUGGCUAGGGAUUCCAUCCUUUCCAUGUAUAAAAGUUUUUGAAUGUAAGGAUGAGAAAUCAAGGUAUCUGCUACACUUUUUUUAUAUAUACGUGUAGCGCAUGUAUCGAGAAAUUAGUAAAAGAAAAAAAAAAUUCCUCAGCUAAUUCUCAAUCAACACCAACUCCAUCUUAGGAAAGUGUGGUUGGUUCUGUUCUUCCUCGAAUUCAAUGAAUUUUUGUCAUAUUGUCAUACAUAUAACGAAUAAUAUAUAUAUNNNNNNNNNNNNNNNNNNNNNNNNNNNNNNNNNNNNNNNNNNNNNNNNNNNNNNNNNNNNNNNNNNNNNNNNNNNNNNNNNNNNNNNNNNNNNNNNNNNNNNNNNNNNNNNNNNNNNNNNNNNNNNNNNNNNNNNNNNNNNNNNNNNNNNNNNNNNNNNNNNNNNNNNNNNNNNNNNNUAUGCCUCUUUUCCUCUUUAAAUUUUAAAGUAAUAAUUAAGAAGAAAAAAGAAGAAGAUACUAUUCAAUAAUUUAAUUCUGAUACCAUCAACAUGGAAGACUCCAUUUGCUUCAUCUAACAAUGGACUUUGGCAUUAUAUAAUUAACAAAACAAUUAAUUAUUAGGAUAACUUAAUCACCGACAAAGGUUUCUUACUAUUAUCCUUAUGAGAUUCCACUAGUUAAGCUAAAUAUUUUUAAUCGACGUAAGAGUUAUGAAUGUAUAAACAAGUAGAUCUUAGCUACAUUGACCUAGUCAAUCAUUAUUAUUACCGACAUAUUUAUGCUAUACAAAUAUUUGUCCUAAUGCUAUCUUUUAUUUAUUUUUUUAAUGGAAAAGGGUCAAAAAGAUUCCUGAAUUAUUCGAAGUGGAGCAAAAAUAUCCCUCAUUAGUUUUUUGUCUCAAAAGUAUCCCUCUCUAAUGAAAUAACACCAAGCAUGUCAUGUAGACAAAAUACGUCACUUGAACAGUUCACGUCAGAUCGACCAUCUUUAUUAAAGGUGAAUGCUCCAUUAAAUGAGAGAUUUUCCAUGUGGAUAUUGGCGCCUAGCGUGGACUGUUCAAGUGGCGCUUUUUGUCCACGGACAUACUUAGUAUCAUUCUGUUAGAGAGAUGAAUAGUUUUGAGCCAAAAAUUUAAUGGAGGAAUAGUUGUAAGCAAAAAAAUUAACGAAAGAUAUUUUUACUUUAUUUCAAAUAAUUUAGGAAUAUUUUUAAUCGUUUUUUGCUUUUUUAUGAUUUCUAAGUUGCUUAUAAUUUUUUUAUUACUACAUGAUUAACAAUAUUUUUUUAUUUCCAUAAAUAACAGAGAGUAAACUAAGUUGCACCUUAAUGGUCGAAAAGUAUUCACUAUUUUUUUUAGACUUAAAGAGGUGAUUCUGAUACAUGUCUUAUGAACAAUCAUUACAAAUUUUAUUAUUUUAAAUUUUGUUUUAGAUAAGUCUAUGAUUAAGUUGUUGGUGACCAAUUUAUUCAAUUGAGUGAGGCUGGCAUGUCCAAAGAUUUUAGGACGAAGAAACGGGUUAUUAUGUUAAUUAGGUAGAUUUAUUUUAGGGAGAAAUAAGACAUAUGCUUUAAUUUGUAAAUAUUAAUAAGUAUUUUUCCAUUUAAGCAUAGCUUCUUUUAAAUUUAAAUUAGUAAUCAAACAGUGUUUAGUAGUAUUUUCUACCUUGUUGGCUUUGUCACACAUUUGAGAGAUGCUAAAAAUGUGUAUUAAAAAAAAAAUAAGAUGGAAAGAGAAGCAUACUGGCUCAAAGGUAAAGCCGCUAAAACGUGCUUUAAGGUUCAAAAAUAGUAUUUUUAUUAUAUAAUUAGUCUCUCCUAUGUUUUACAGUUUAUAGUCUAUAUGCAAUAAAUCAAAUUCUAUUAUAUAAUUUUUUAUAUAAAAAUAAAAGUUUCUUUAAAGUUAUUAAAGGAUGUCCAUUUGUUGUAAUAAAAUACAUUGAUUUUGGUUCUCAGAAUCCUAUUGGUACAUAAUAAACUUUGGCUAUUUUAAUUCAAAGUUUUAAAAUAUCAAAUACAAUUCUAUAAUCUUUAACUAAAAAUUUAAAAAUAAGAUUAUUAAACUUCCGAUGAUAUGAUUGUAUAAGAAAAUAAUAAACAUUUUAAAAUGUUAUUGUAACUUUAUAUAAUACAUGUAACAGUAUUUUUCUAGUGAUUAUAAGAAGAAUUUUAUUGAAAAAUCAAACGUAAUUGUAACUUGCGGUAUUGAAAGUAAAAUUUGAUGGCGAGGAAAAUAUGAGUCCAUUCUUAUGUCAUUAAAAUUUAUAAACCUUUUUAUUAAGAUGACUUGAAAAUGGUAUUUAACUAUAUAUAAUUUAUAAUUUUUUAAUUAUCAUAAAUAAAAUAUUUCAUUUUCGUGAUAUUUUAGUUUGGAUUGCUUUCUAUCUAUCAUUAAUGACAAAAUACAUCGUCAGACCCCUUAAAUUGACACCAUUUUUCACUUUGGCAUCUUAAGUGGACAUUGUUCACCUUUGGCAGUUCAAAUAACCAUAAAGUGUAUCAUUUUGACAUCUUUCGACAUCAAUAAAAGUGUGUGUUACACUCACUGUCAACGUGGAUAAAACGGCCAACUGAUUUAUGCCAAUUCAUUUAAAUUGCCACAUCAUUAUUUAUAUUCACAAUUAGUUUUAAAAAAAAUAAAAUCAAAACAUAUGGCAAUUAAUGACAUAAUUAUCUAACUCAUUAAUAUAUAUACAAAAUUAAAUUAAAAGAAUCAAUUAAUUACUGACACGUGACAUUUUUCAAAAUAAUUAUAAAAUUAUUUAUUUUAUUUGGACAACCCUCCACCCACCUCCCACCCCCAAACUCCAAAGUCAUCUUCUCUACCACCAUCUAUCCCCCCGAUACCCCCCACCCUAAAUCAUCUUCUCUAUUUGGCAACACCCCUCUUCCCGUCAUGUUCUCCAUCUCCCUCCCCCCCCACCACCCCCAACCCCUGCCUGAGUCAUCUUAUCCUCUCCAUUUGCCCCUUUGAAAAGAUGAACACUCAAUCAAAGAUUAUAGUAUAUAUGUAUAUCAAAGACCUUGAUUAGUCAUAGCUUGACCUCAAAAAUUAGAAGGCAUUAAAUGACUGUUUUUUUUCUUAACAAAAAAUAAAAAAGAAAUGAUUGACCUUGAAAUAUAUUCAUCAGUAGUAUGUGUGAACCUAUUCUUUGGCAACGCAGUGGUCUUCUUACUACUUCAGUUGCAGUCAUAACAUGUUGACAAAGAUGGUGAUUGCUCAACAACAAAUCACUCGUUGUUGUUAGUGUGUUAGUGUGUUUCGUUAUUCUUGAAAAGUUCAACCUCCAUUAAUGGAAGUUAAGCUAAAGAAAGGUUGUGUGAAGAAGGCAAUGUGAGGAAAUUUUUUGUAAUUAUUUGGUCAAUAAAACAUGUGCCAUUAAUUUAUUGGAUCAAUUUUUACUGAUUUGGCAAUAGAGAUUUUCAAUAGUUUUAAAAAAAAUUUAAAGAUGAAAAAUUACAAAAAUAUCCCUAAAAAUUUAUGAAAAUACUCUUCAAACGCUCCAAAAAGUGAGCAACGUCCACUUGAAGUGCCAAAAUGAAAGAUAGCACCAAGUUGAGGACCGACAAUAUAUUCUUUCUUCAUUAAUUAGUGCAUGUACUACUCCUGUACUCCAUUGGUUUUGAUUUUUUCUUGUUCCUGCACAUUAUUUCUCCUUUUUUACUGUCUAUAUAGUACUAUUUUUUAACUUAGUAUGUUGAAAUUAAUUAUUUUUUAUUUGCAUAUGAAAAAGAAAUACUUAACUAGAUUGAUUCUUAUUCGUAUAUAAAAAGUUAAAAUAGUGAAAUUCAAGAAAAAUAUAUGAAUUUUAUAUUUGGCUUUAGAUGGCUAAUUAUAUUAAGCCGCCCUUGAAGGGACGGUGAAUUGUAAUAUUUUUUGUGGUUGACUAUGAGGCGAGCUAUAAUAUGAAAUCAAAUAAGUAACAUAGUAUAAUUAUGUGCUAAGUAAUGUGUCAUAUGAUAUUUUUCAAUUGAUUUGAAUUCAGUGUGAAUUAUAGUUAGUCCUUCCUUUUGGAUUUUUGUUAAACUGAAAUUUUCAUUUUUAUUACAUAGAGAGAGAAGUUAUAAAAAGGAUGAUUACAACGUGUUGUAACUUUUCAGGACGAAGAACAACAAGUCAUUGUUUUAUUAAAGAGGGAUUGUCCCUUGUCCAUAUCAGCUUUCAAGAAAAUAACAGAACAAAUGUUGAAUCUACUACUAUGAGAAAUUCAUCAUUUGUUUUGUUGGAGUUAGCCAAUGUCUGCUUUCUCCUUCCUAAUCCUAAAAUUAGCCAAACCAACUUUAUCCAACCUAUAAGUCCUUUAUAUUCAUCAUUAAGCUCUUGAAAUUGUUGUUGAGUACAAUGUUGAGGGUGUACUUAAUUUCUAAUCAUACAAUAGCGGUCUUUUUCACUCUUUGUAGUUGAUAUAUUGCCUCACCAAACACUAUUUUCCUCUCUUCGCUCUUUUUAAAUACACAAUAAAUGAAUUAGGAAGUUACAAUGCUUGUUAAGAAUAGCAUAGAGCUUUGGAGAAUGUUUGGACAGGAUGUACAGUUUCUUUUCCUAGAAGGCAUAUAUAGUCUUUGUGUGCUUGAUGUCUUGAAAAAGGAUAGAGAAAGACAAUCCAUACUACAUGAAAAAUAUUGAAUUGAGACAUAAUAUUUAUCAAUGGACAAGUCUGGCAUAGAGUUUAAACGGAUUUGUGAUAGAAUUAACUAAUUUAUAGUGUUGAUUUUAAUUUUUUCAAAAAUAAAUCAUAAAAUAGAUUGCCUAGCUUGACGUGUUAUGUGAUAUUAUGCAUAGAUUAAGUCCAUUGGAGGUUGUCUGAUUAGAGAAUCGGACAAUGCUUAGCAUGGGAAUUUCAUUGAAUAUGGAGCUAAGUGAGACUUUAAUCUCUCAUUUACUUGCUUUUUCAAAAGCAUUAUUUAAAACUGAGAAAUCGCUUCAAACUACUCCUCCACCCCAUUUUAGUUGGGCACAUUCUAUUUUAUACGGUGAUUAAGAAUCAUAAAUUGAAUGAUAAAUUUUACGAUCUUACCCUUUACUCAUAUUAAUGUUAUUCGUUGGGCAUAAGAAUGAACAUUGAAAUUGAAAUUGUUAACAUUUAAUAUAUACUAAAAAUUGUAGGGGAAAAAUAAAAAAAUAAUUAAUUUUAUCCUAAUUUAGUAAGUGGUCUUUUUUGGUGGGCUGAAACGCAUUAAAAAGAAAUAGCGGAGUAUUACAGUAGCACCUGGAUUAACCAGGAUCUACAAAAUUUGAGUUUGAGCUUAUGCCCUCUAAUGAAACAUUACAACACCUUGUUUGCCUAAUGAAACUAGUUCCUAGGAUGUCAGCCCAGGUAGCUUUGCAGCAUACAUUGGAGGAAUUACAAAAGAGUUUCUCUGUCCACAAACUUUCAGUCUUGCUCCUUCCUUAGCUAAUGCAUCCUUCACCAUAUUCUGCUCUUUAUAGCAGUGCUGGAUUUGUGGUCGUCCCAGACUCCUGAUUAGCAACCUGCAUCCAUUAAUUAUGGCAUUAUAGUGGAGGUUUCCCUCUUUGAGCAUAAUAAUAACCUUUUUCGAGUCUACAUUGAUGUCCACGGGAACUAAGGACAUUUCCUCCAUAAUUUUUAGUCCCUUUAGUUGAGCAAAGAGCUCCAUCUGGUUAUUAGUAAUCACAGGGAAAACUUUUUUGAAACCUGUAGUCCAAUUCCCUUCAUUGUCUCUAAUAACCCCUCCAAUACCACCCCUACCAGGAUUUCCCAAACAUGAGCCAUCAGUGUUAAGUUUAAAUCUUUCUUUAGAGGUUGGUUCCCACUUAACACUAAUGUUCAAUAAUCUAUUUGUCACGACCUGAAUCAAGGUCUGGCCGUGAUGGGCAUCCCUAGCCAACCAAGGUCGGAGAUGACCCCUAACCUUACCUCAAGAGCACAUCAGUAAAAACAAACAACAAAAUCCAACCAAGAUAAAAAGAGAAACAUAUGAUUCCAAAAGAAAGUUAAGAGUCAAAACCAACUCCAUAAUAAUAUCCCGACACUGCCUACAAAAGUCUCUAAUCCAAAAAUACCAACUAAGUCAAGACAUGUCCCCGACUAUAACAAAAGAAAUUCAAAAGUUCUGAAAUGAUAAAUGUAACUAAGAAAGAGGCCAAGUCUUUUGAUAGUUCAUAAGUUGGUUGAACUUGUGUUGAACUUAUUGUGGAUUAAAUACAAAUUUUGUACCCAGAAUAACAAUCUUAAGGAAUUUAUUAAUAAUUUUAAUUUUUGAGUUUCUAGAGAUUAAAACUUUUUGCUUUCUACGCUGUUUGAACUUUAUAGUGAUUUGAAGUUAUAAAAACUUCAUCACGGGUUAAUGUUCAUUCAGUUGAUGAUUAGAAGAACAUAAAAGCUUCAACAUUAAACUAGAAAUAAGUUGUUUAAAGUUUUUAAAACUUUAUUCUUAGUAUUUUGACUUACUAAAUUGGUUGUCUUUUUGUCACAGUAAAAAUGAUUAUUGAAAAUCAAGUUAAUGAUGGAAUGGUCAAUGUCACAACAACAAAUAUUGCUACUUAAAAUCGUUCAAAUGCUGCUCCGCCAAGGCACUGACAGAAAAAUCAGAAAGUUUUCUAGUGUGGAUUUUAAAAGAUGGCAGCAGAAGUUGUUCUUUUAUCUGACUACAUUAAAUCUACAAAGGUUCAUCACUGAAAGCAUUUCAGAGUUUUCGAAAGAAAUAUCCAAAAAUAUACUUUAUUACUACAAAAGCUUGAAAGCACUUGAAUUUUUUAUAUAAGAACUACAUACUGAGUGGCUACAACAUGGCAUGUACAAUGUGUACAGCAAUAUGAAGACCUCUAAGGAACUAUGGGUAGCUUUGGAAAAGAAGUACAACAUAGAGAAUGCAUGAAUGAAGAAAUUUAUUAUUGCAAGAUUUGUAGAUUUUAGGUGGUAGACAGUAAUACUGUAGUUACCCAAGUUCAAGAACCGCAAGUCAUCAUUCAUGAUCUCCUCACCAAAGGUAUAAAUUUGUUCUUGAUACUUACAUAGUCUCUGAUGUAGGCUUAAUUGUGAACGAGGCUUAUCAAGUAGCUGCUAUAAUCGAGAAGUUACCACAUUUGUGGAAAGACUUCAAAAACUACUUAAAGCACAAGCACAAGGAGAUGUCUUUCGAAGACCUUAUUGUGAGGUUAAGAAUCGAAGAGGACAAUAAAGCAUCAGAAAAGAGGUCUCGAUGGAAUUUACAAUAAGUAGAGAAAAUAUUGUGGAAGACGACCCCCAAUAAAUUAAAGAGAGAAAGGAAGCGUCAGGACAAUAAGGCAAUCCUCCUAAGAAGAAAUUCAAAGAAAAUUAUUUUAACUGUGACAAAGUUGGCCACAAGUCUUCAGAUUGUCAGGCUCCUAAGAAGGACAAGAAAAGAGGAUCAAGCUAACAUGGUUGAAUCCAAGAUGAUGUGGAGAUCUAUGUGCUAUGCUUUUGGAGUGCAUGUUGGUUGAAAAUCCUAGAGAGUAGUGGAUUAAUUCAGGUGCCACUAGCCACAAUGUGCCAACAAAAAAUUAUUUCCAUUAUAUUUUCUGGCUCAGGCUAAUGAGAACAUAUUCACGGUAACUCUGUUACGGUAAAGAUUGAAGGAAAAUGCAAGAUUUACUUGAAGAUGACAUUGGGCAAGGUGGUGACACUAAACAACGUCCUUUAUGUUUCAAAGUUGCGAAAGAACUUAGUUUCUACUUCACUUCUAACUAAAAAUAGAUUCAAAUAAGAAUUUGUUUCUGACAAAGCUGUAAUUAGUAAGCAAGAAGUGUAUGUAGGUAAAGGUUACUUCAUCGAGGAUUUUUUUAAGAUCAGUGUAAUAAAUGUUGAAAUCAAUAAAAAUUCUGUUUCUUCUUACUUACUUGAGUUAAAUGAAUUAUGGCAUGAACAUUUAGGACAUAUUAAUUACAAAACUUUGCAAAAACUGAUUAAUUUAAAAAUUUUGCCUAACUUUGAGUGUAAUAAAUCAAAUUGUCAAACAUGUGUGGAAUCUAAGUAUGCUAAGCAUCUAUAUAAGUCUGUUGAAAGGAAUUUCAAUCCCUUAGACUUAAUCCACACAAAUAUUUAUGCUAUGAAGUCAAUACCAUCUCAUGGUGAGAAAAAGUAUUUCAUAACUUUUAUUAAUGAUUGCGCUAGAUAUUGUUAUUUUUAUUUGCUAAAUGAUAAGAAUAAAGUAAUAGACGUAUUUUGGUAAUAUAAAACUAAAGUUGAAAACCAGUUGGAUAAAAAGAUCAAAAUAAUAAGAAGUAAUAGGAGUAGAGAGUAUGUAUCUUCUUUUGCAGGGGUAUGUUAGAAAAAAGGAAUUAUCCAUCAAACUAAUUUCCCGUAUUCACCUCAAUCAAAUGGGAUUGUGAAAAGAAAAAUUGAAUGUUAAAGAAAAUAAUAAUUGUCUUACUCAUAAGUUCAGAUAUACCGCAAAACUUGUGGGGGGAAGUUAUCCUUACAGCAAAUCGAAUACUCAAUAGAGUUCCCUAUAAGAAGACACACUCUAUCCUAUAUGAAAAUGAAAAGGAAGGAAACCCAACUUGAAAUAUUUCAAAGUGUGGGAUUGUCUAGCUAAAGUCCAAGUCUAUAUACCUAAAAGGAUAAAAAUAGGACCAAAGAUUGUGGAUUGUGUGUUCAUCGUAUAUGCUACAAGGAGUAAAGCAUUUCAAUAUUUGGUUCAUAAAUUCGAACCAUGAAAAUACGAUAAUCUGAAUCAGAUAAUAUUAAGUUCUUUGAAUACAUUUAUCCGUAUAAAAUUGGACAUGAGAUGUCUAGUGGAGGAUCUAAACAACCUCGAGAUGAACCAAAGGAGAAUGUACUUAAUAAUGAGAAUCAAGGUGUAGUACACGUCAAAUACCGUCAAUUUUCUUUGGAUAAGAUUUUGUAACAUUUCUUCUUGAAAAUGAGCCUUAAAAAUUGAAAGAAACGAUGUCGUCUUCAGACCCAUCCUUUUGGAAAGAGGCAAUCAAUGGUGAUAUAGAUUCAAUCUUGAGCAACCAUACUUAGGAAUUGAUUGAUCUUUCUCCGGUAAAUAAACCUUUAGGUUCUAAAUGGAUCUUCAAAAGGAAAAUAAAAGCUAGUGGUACUUUUGACAAUUAUAAGACAAGACUUGUUGUGAAAGAUUUUAGACAAAAAGAAGGCCUUUAUUAUUUCGAUACAUACUCGCCAAUAACAAGGAUAACGUUCAUUCAGAUGUUGGUUGCGUUGACGACAGUAUAUGAUGUUGAAAUUCAUCAAAUGGAUGUGAAUACAACGUUCUUAAAUAGAGAAUUGAAGGGAGAAAUUUACAUAAAACAACCUAAGGGUUUUGUAGUUUCUGGUAAAGAAAAGAAAUUGUGCAAACUUGUUAAAACACUUUAUGGAUUAAAACAAGCACCCAAAUAGUGGUAUAUAAAAUUUGACCAAACCAUGUUGGCAAACGAUUUCAGGAUAAACGAAUGUGAUAAAUGUGUUUACAUUAAAGACACUCCAAAUCACAAAGUCAUUAUUUGUUUGUAUGUGGAUGACAUGUUGACCAUCAGUAGAGACAUUCUAACAUAAAUGCUAUGAAAUAAAUGCCUGAGGGCAAGUUUGAUUUGAAAGACCUUAGAGUUGCUGACGUAAUCUUAGGGAUAAGAAUUUUUAGAACUCCAUAGGUAUUGGCGUUGUCACAGUCGCAUUACAUUGAAAAGGUGUUUGACAAGUUCAAGCAUUUAGAUUUCAAUAUUGUUGAGACUACAUUAGACAUGAGUUUUGCAUUUCAAAAGAAUGAAGGUGAAAGUAACUCACAGUUGGACUAUGCAAGAGUGUUGAAAAGUUUGGUGUAUAUAUCAUAAAUUGUACGUGAGAAGACAUAGAAUGCACUAUUAGUAAAUUAAGUCGGUAAAAGACUACUCCUAAUCAAACUCAUUGGAUGGAUAUGAAAAAAGUUUUAGGGUAUCUAAAACAUACCCAAGACUAUGUUUUUAUUAUAACAAAUAUCCAGCGUAGAUGAGGUGACUUUUCAAAAUAAUGUAAUUUUUCGUGAACCAUUACUUUCUUUCUGAAGCACCACAUUGUGGCUAUAAAUGCCUGAAUUUUUCCUCUGAUAAAGGUAUGAAGAUUUGAAGGGAAAAACAUUUUCUUUUUCUUCUUAAAACUCUGGUAUGAUCUUCAAACUAUUGAGUGAGUUCGUUGUUCAGAAAAUUUGAGGUACCACUAUUUUUUGAAGAGAAUCAUUUUUCGUAGGGAGGAUAUAUUCCUUUAACCUCGAGUACUUGACUAGAAUAAUUUUUUUAAGGAUACAUCGUGAAUUCAGUGGAUUUGACUCAAUCGUUUCUGUCUUCAUCCCAUUUUCUUAAAGUUGGUUUUAUUAUUUUUCCAGAAAAAUAGUUUGAACAUUAUAUUGAUAGUUCUUCAUUUGUUUGAACUUGUGUUUGAAGUUUUUGAAACUUCAUUUUGAUAGGUUAUAAGUUGUUGAACUUGUGUUGAAGUUAUUGUGGAUUAAAUACAGAUUUUGUACAAAAAAUAAUACGAAAUAGCUGUGAAACCUUGGGGAGCGACCAACUAAAAGAAUUUGCACCGAAGUCGAUCCGAAAUCACUUUCAAAGUAAUGGCUUACCACGACACAAUAUUUUCAGUUCCAUAUUAAUAUUAGAGUAAUUUUUCCAACAAGUGGCAAAGUUUGUUAUUUAACUACAAAAUUUGUUCGUCAACAAAUCCUUGUUUUUCUUUUGUUGGGUAGUAUAUUUUGGUUUUAUCUAAUCAAUCUAUUGACAAGCUAAGCGCCUACGAAAACGAUGUAGAUGUUCUACCUACGGGGGCGGGGGGGUGUCUAUUACAAUUACAAAAAUAAACUGAAUGUUGAGUUUCAGUUCCACUAACACCUUGCAAAAGUGAAUUACCCAUGAAAGAUGGGGGUAUUAUAUCAAAAAAAAAAAACAUAUCUUUUGUUGUUUUCUAAUUUCUAACGAUAUAUUUUUGAUCCAUUGCUUUCCCAUAGUAUGCUAACUUGACAGCCACUUUUUUUUGCUUUUCUAUAUACGUGGAACACUUUUUUUUUCGUCAAAAUGCGAAUCAUAAUUUAAUCCGUCAAUUUUUACUAAAUUGUAAUUGUCUUUUUUUUUUUAUAAACAGAGAUAGCAGGUAACCCAAGAAAAAAAAAUGUCUAGCAGAACAUAUUACGCAUCCUCGAAACUACUAUGACCUAUAAAACUAGAUGAUAAAAAAAUUGGUUUUAUCAUACUGGCACACUUGUAGAUGUUCCAUAAUUCAUGUAAAUUUACUUCAGAUGAAUUGUAGUUUUUGUGUUCAAAUUCAUAUAAAAACGAAAUGAUUUAAGUUUCGUUCUUUGAAUAUCGCCAUACAGAAAUAAAAUAGAACAAGGGGAGUACUUUUCUAGGUCUCUAUUUGAUAUUUUAUCAGUAACAAUUUGAAAAUAGUCAUAACUCAUACACGUAGUAGUAGGUGGAAAUGUUUCUGAUUGAAUUCGGCAUAAAAAUAUUUUUAUGGAAAAAAAGUUUCUUCUAGUUUUGGUUUAUAAGUGGAUCAAUUUUUGUGGAAAAAAAGUUUCUGCUAGUUUUGGUUUCUAAGUGGAUCAUUCCCUAGCGCUCUACUAAAUGAUUUAAUUUUAUAUAAAGAAGAUGAAAUUAUAAGAAAAAAGAGAAAAAAGAAAAAGACUAGAGAUCUAAAGAAGGGAAAACUUAAAGUAUGUGGUAAUAACUUCUUUUAUUCAUCACAUAAUCUCUGCAUUUUGCAAGGAGAUUGAAACUGAGCAAACAUACACAAAGACAUAAAAGUAAAAAUACAAAUAUAAAUAGAGUACAAACAAUAUCACUAAUAACUUAGAGAACAUGAAGCUACAAAAGAACUUCGCCUCCCGUGGGGCUUAUUGUUUACUCUUUUUUCUUCUUUUUGGCAUUGCCUCUCGAAAUGGAAAAUGCCUUUCCUUGAGCUCAACAUUCUGCUUUUCCUGCAUAAGAAUAUAAUAUUGUCAAUGAGAACAUAUAGUAACUGAUUAAUAAACCUAAUAAGUAGGAGAUAGCAUAGGCUUAUAUAUUAAUGCGUUUGCAUGAAGAAAUUGUGCAACUUGUAUUGAUUUGCAUUUAGACAAAUCAUUUUUAAGAAUUUUAGUUUGGCUUAAUUACCUUAGAUUUGAUGUUGUUGUUUCUUAGUGAUGGUAGGGAGGAGGUGGAGACUUGUAAACCGGAGUUGGUGGUGGUGGAGACUUGUAUACUGGUGCAGGAUGGUGUGGUGUUGGUGAAGGAUGGUAUGGAUUCACUGGUGGUGGUGACUUGUAAACGGGUGUUGGUGGUGGUGGAGAUUUGUAUACUGGUGCAGGGUGGUAUGACUUCACUGGUGGUGGUGGUGACUGGUAAACGGGUGUUGGUGGUGGUGGAGACUUAUAAACUGGUGCAGGAUGAUAUGGCUUCACUGGUGAUGGUGGUGACUUGUAAACGGGUGUUGGUGGUGGUGGAGACUUAUAAAUUGGUGUGGGAUGAUAUGGUGUUGGUGGAGGAUAGUAUGGCCUCUUAGGUGGUGGUGGUGACUUGUAAACUGGAGUUGGUGGUGGUGGCGACUUGUACACUGGAGUGUGUGGCGGGUAGUAUGGCUUUUUGGGUGGUGGUGGGGACUUGUAAACUGGAGUUGGGGGUGGUGGAGACUUGUAAACUGGGGUGUGUGGAGGGUAGUGUGGUGGUGACUUGUAAACUGGAGUCGGGGGUGGUGGAGACUUGUAAACUGGGGUGUGUGGAGGAUAAUGUGGCUUCUUUGGUGGUGGUGGGGACUUGUAAACUGGAGUGUGUGGAGGAUAGUGUGGCUUCUUCGGUGGUGGUGGUGACUUGUAAACAGGAGUUGGUGGUGGUGGCGACUUGUGAACUGGUGCGGGAUGAUAAGGUGUUGGUGAAGGGUGGUAUGGCUUCUUAGGUGGUGGUGGAGAUUUGUAAACAGGAUGAUGAUGGUGUGGUGGAGGGGACUUAUAUACUGGGUGGUGAUGGUUUGGUGGAGGAGACUUAUAUACUGGGUGGUGGGGUGGAGAUGGAUAGACAUGCACUGGUGGAGGAGGAGAUGAAUAAUGAUAAUUUGCAGAGCUUUCAGAAGCUAAGCUAAGUGACACUAAAACCACCAAAAGAGUGGCAACUAGAGAGGCCAUUUUCCCCAUAUU